CUGUCUCUGUCUGACACAUUCAUAGCAUGUCAAGCAUGCGCAGAACAAAAUCCUUCUUAUUUUCCGCGUUUCGGACACAACAUUUUUUACGACACAACUUUCGAACGAGUUUUUCUGUUUUCGGAACGAAUAUACAAGCAGAGGGGAAACGAUAGUGUUAAUGCCUAUAAGGUCCAGUUGGCCCUCAAGAAGAAGUAUUGCACCAAGCGGCUAAGUAUUGUACUGAUUGAACUCUAGUAUAGACAAAAACCACGCUAGUAUGUAACGUAUGUAUAACAAAAACCUAUUUAAUUCUAUGGUCGUACGUAAAAAUUCAUAUUUUUCUAUUCGAAAUAUACAAGUAUAAGAAUAACAGAAUCACAUAGUAAUCAAAAUGAGUUGGCCUAAGAAAGAGAAAUUAAUUUUUUAAUCUAUCGCAAUUUUUUAAUCUAUAUCGCAUCGCGUCGAUGUUUUUGUUAUAAUAAAACCUAAUUUCAUUUUAAUAGUAAUCUCACUAGUUGAUGGCCAGCGAAUAAUACAUAUUUCUGACGAAUCUGUUUGCAGAACAAAUUAACUGUAGAAAGAUUUCACACGUAACGAUUGAUUUGUUAUCCACGACUUUUACCCAUGUUACUUAUAUUACUGAGUAAAAUUUAUUAAUUCCAUGAAUUUUAUAUGAAUUCAAAUGUAACGGCACAAGGCAAAGAAGGAAGACGAGAAAAGACACUGUGUUAGUGUGCUAUGGUGUAUCAUGUUCGUGUUUCUAUACCCCUUACACCUAAGGUUUUGUCCUAACAGUUAGGAUCUAGCUCGCUCUAUCGCAUUAAGACAAGUUCGACCAACCGACCAGCAGUCAAAAGAAAAAGUUUAAUAAGCCCAUUCAAUGCUUCAUUUUAAUCAGGAAAAUUUUACCAAUAUGUUAAUGAAAUUUUUAUUAGCAAAAAAUUAAAAAUAAAAAUUUUUCGUCGUUGUAUUAGUAUUGCCUCACUGAUGCGAAAGCGAUCUUACUGUGCGACCUUCUUGAGUGUCUAGGAUUUAGUCAAUGUUUAGAGCACGCCAUGAAGCUAUCGACGAUCCUAGCCCUGGAACGCAGGACGUGCGAUGGCUGUCGAAUAAUAUUUGCGACUGGUUUUCAAAAUGUUUUUGUCUGUAGCAUUUACAUAUUAAUUAAUUAGGUAUAUUAAAUUUUGUGUCAUUUAGUAGUACUUUCAUAUGACUAUGGACUCAUGUAAGAAAAUACCAAAAGCGAAUUCAAGGGAGUCACGUUUACAGCACGCUUUAUAAAUUCGGAAAUGUCGAACUCGCGUGGUUUUAUUUUGACGUUCGUCCACGUCGACGAUUGUACGAAGGAUACUCGAAUAUACCAGGCAUCGCAGUUGCAAAAUGUCGGGACCCUCUGGUUUACAUUAUCGUACGGGGAGGGCUUAAUUUAUGACACCCUCAAAUGUUAAUGCUUCUCUUUUCCCGAGAAUGGCGAAGGCCAGGUGCCCGUCCCAGGCGUUCGAAUUUCAAUACAGUCGUAUAUUUUAAUAAAUAUAAGAAUAGACAAAUCACCUUGUGGGCCUUCGUGGGCAAACGUAACUGCCGUACCGACUUAGAAACUCGACAUUGAUUUAAGCAUCCUUUACUCAUAAACGAUGACCAUUUGAUAAAGUAUUUACUAAAAAAGAAUUAGUAGAGCCUAAUAGCACACAUGGCAAAUGUGUGUCCAGUGGAGAUGAUAGACAAUUACUUAGGUACUUCAGUAAUAUGUAUGUAUAUGUGUGUAUUGAAUUAGAGAUAUGUACAUAUAAAGAAAUAGAUGAGUGAGCAAAGCUGCGGCGACGACAUCUCGUAGGCGUAUCAGUAAUGAAAAUAAAAGGUAAAAAUCGUGGAUCACAAAUUAGUUAUAACAUUAAAUCUUGUCUGCAUAAAAUCAUACAAAAUAAAUAAAUCACGUCAGAAAUAUUAUUCGCAACCUAUCAACUACUGAAAUUACUAUAAAUAUUGAAUUAAAUAUUAAAUUAAUAAACUACAUUGAAAUAAUAUUUGAAUUUUUUAUAACAAAAAUAUCUCUACGAGGAAAGUAACUUUAAUGUUAAAUCUAAAAACUAUUAUGUAUGGAAAAUAUAUUAAAAUUACUGCACCAUUCCAUUGAUCCAUUACCGUUUCAGGGGAAAGAUUUUCUUUUCUUCUCCAAAAAAAUAUAAUAAGCUAAGUUAAGUUUAAUUAUUGUGCAAUUUUGUUAUUCUCGUACUUGUCUAUCUUGUAUAGAAUAGCAUGAACUUUUCUGUAGAACCACACAGUGAAAUAAGCUCUUGUAGUGUGGAACCACAGCGAGUAUACCUCGUUUGUGGUGGAACUAAACAGGUUCUUGUAUAUGCUAGCGUGAAACCAAACAGUGCAAAUCACUAACUUUAUCGGUUCUUGUAUAUACUAACGUGGAACGCCUUCAGCACUUGGCCGCUUGGUGCAGCACUUGUGUUGUGAAAUAACUAAAAUAAUGGGCGCGAGCUAUGGUCGUAUACACAAGUCUGGACUCCAGUGGAGGAGGUAAGGCUCUAAAUAUCGGAAGCUACGCUGUACAUAUCGGCCAUCAUGGAACACUGCAAUUGUGAAGUUACGAUUUUGUAUUCAACAUCAUCGUUAUAUAAACUAAAGAAUAUAAACUAAACCAUCGAGCUUACUCAAUGACUAAACUAAAUUAUUCUUCAUAAUUUUUCACAAUUUAUUUAAAAUAAGUAUGUAUACAGGGUUUCAUUUGGUACAGAAAACUGCUGUUUAAGUAAAUAUUAAUUGUAAAUCAUUAUUAAAUAUGUAUUAUUAUCUUUAAUAAAAAAAGGUAACAAAAUUGCGACCCCUAAAUUAAGUAUAUACACAUAUAUUUAAUGUAAUGUAAUGUUGUUUCGUAUAGUAAUUCGGCUGGUAAGGCUCCAACAUCUUUGAAUUUCUUCGUUCGUCUUUGUACGCGAUUUGUAUUCUAAGUAAAACGACUGGUAACAUCCCCACCCAAUUUUCAUUAUUAUGACAUCCUAAUGCGGUUUUCAAUGAGCGACGCUACCGUUCGACCAAUCCGUUUGACGCUAGGUGGUGGACAAUGGUUGGUACCCGUUGACAUCCGACGAUGGAGGACCUUGUCCUUGAAAACCCUAUCAGUUGUGAUAGUUUCCGAUAGUCCGAUCCUUUGUUUCUUGUGGGAUAAUAAAGGUAGUUGACUGUAGAUAACACUGAUAUUAACAGGUUAUUAUAUAUUUGAAUGCUCCAACAACUUCAGUGUGAUACAAGAAUGAUUUCUUGCUGGACUUCUGACUCUUGAUGUUCCUUGCACCAGCCUUUAACUGGUUCUUGACUUAGACUGACUGAGAUUUGACUGAAUAUAGACUAGAGCGCAAGGAGAAGAAGUAGAGUUGACCCUCCUGAUGAUAUAGACUCGAUCUAGACUGGAUGUAAACUGGAUGUGAAACUGGAUGUGAAACUGGAUGUGAAACUGGAUGUGAAACUGGAUGUGAAACUGAAUGUGAAACUGGAUGUAAAACUGGAUGUGAAACCGGAUGUGAAACUUGGUGUAAACUUGGUAUAAAACUUGGUGUAAAACUGGAUGUAAAACUAAGAACUAAAAAUAAGAGCGACAAGUCAGUUUUACACCAUGUUAUUACGGAAGAAAACUCGGUGUGCGUGUGCCCUUUGCACGAAGAACGCGGAUUCGUUGUUCACAAUUUUCGUUAGGAAAAGUGAGGGUAACGAUCCGCGAUAUCAAUUGGUUAUGACCCACUUUAAUGCCUGAAGGUAUGAGGAGGAAGCCUCCUACCAACGUGGCUCAUGGGUGGCCUUGUUCAUGGGAAAAAUCAGCCUUUUUGUUAGACAAAUAUUCGGUUUUUCCCAAUAGAUGACUACCCGUUUUCUCCGUGUUUGUAAGAGCGUGCAAUAGACCUAAGGACUGUUUUAAAUACCAGCUAUAAACCGAAAAUACUUGCAUAAUUAAAGGUUCCUGCAAGCUAAUAAGAUUCGGUUUGUGUUGGGGCCUUAGGUUUAUUGAGGGUCUGUCUAAGGAGGUUUGAGCCUUAACGGUCAUACAAUCAAGGACGUCGCACGGACCAUUUCACGCGACGUAACAUGCGGAUAUCAAUGAUUUUAAGACCCCAGCGAUUUCGUCCGUUUGUUAUGUUAGUCGUGACAAAUCUUGGACAUCACUGAUUGCAAGAAUCCCUCGAUCGUUAUUUGGAGGUUUUUGAAGGAUAAAAAUCCUAAAAACGCUCUCAUUACAUAACCCAUCCGCUAGAUUUCUUAAGCGUUAUAGAAAAUGGUUUUUCGUCUACAAGUUCAUUAUUGCGAAGAAGAUCCCUCAAUUUGAAUUCGCUAAACUCAUCAAACGAAGAAAUAAUACGCGGUUUCAGAGUCUCAUAUUUAUCUCUAGUCAAUGAGUUUCUAAAGAUUUUCGUGACAAAGGACAAAAGGUGUGUUAUCUUUUUGAUUGCGAAGGCCGCCUCAAUUUCUGUAAAUCACAAAAUUAAGGUUCUCUCUUCAAAAGAGAGAUUGUUUAACCAUCGACAAUGCGUCAACUGCGUUUCAUACAUUGCGUUUGUUAAAACUCUUUGAGGAAAUGUUUUACUUCUUGUCGGAGAAUGGUGUAAUGGCAUUUCGAAGAGAUCAUGUCGAGGUCACCAAUUUGUGGUGGUCUUGACAAUUAAUUCUAAUGAUUCAAUAACUCUUAUAAUGUAGUAAACUCUUUAUUUUAUAACUUAACUUAUUUAUUUAACACUUUAACGCUGAACUGAACUUACAAUAAAUUCCGAUCAAAUAUUAUUAUGUUUGACACGUCUCGAUACUUCAGAUUCUCGUCGCUAACUGACUACUUACAAAAAGAAUUACGUUAAUAAUAAAAUAGAAUAGUUAAAAUACAUGUACGAUGUGAUAAAAUAACAUAUAGUAAAGUAUAAAUAUAACAAGGUAUUAAUAAUUUUGAUAAUUAAAUUUUCUUUUUCGGUUGAUAAAGUAGAGAGUUUCUUUAAUUUGUUGGUACAGUUGGCAAAGUUGGUACAGCGUACCUUAAUCCAAAGUUAGCGUAAAGUGGCUCUGAAGUCCGCUGCAAUCAUAAUUUCUUAAUUGAAGCGCUUUCCUGCAGACAAAUUGAUCAACAUCAUUUGAUCACUAACCUACCACGAGAGUUUCCAAUCCUAUAUAUAGACCUAUAUAUGACCGAGAUCAGGAGUCCAGACCCCAAAUGUGGAACACGAAAAGGCAUUGAAUGUCACGGCUAUUAUGUACCUCGUCCGUCAUACUAUACAUUAUUAAUCCCAGUGAUAAUUUAUUUUAUUUAAAAUAUCUGUAUGUUCUAUAUAUUAUUAAAUAACUCCAAAAAGGAGUGAAGAAUAACUAAA